AACUAAUUACUGUCUUUGACCAAAAGGCAUAGGCACAGUUUUUAAUGAUAUAAAUGAAUCCCAAAGUGUAACUGUGUAACUGAGAGCAGAAAGGAGGAGGAGAGAUUCAGGGAGGAGCUGAGCUGUUACUGAACUAUAGAAGAGAGAAAAACCUCCACAUUCAACAGAGUUCAACACAAAACAAACUUUAUGUUCCUCAACAUGCUGUCAUUACAUCACUGUGUGUUUCCUCUGAUUCUUCUCACUCUCACAGUUAUCAGAUGUGAAGAACUCGCUCCAACCAAAGAAGAAGAAUUUACUUUAGAAGGCAGCACUAUUACUCUGUCCUAUAAAUACUCCAAAGCUGCUGUUGGAACUGUUUACUUCUUCUGGUAUCGACAGUAUCCUGGAAAACCACCAGAGUUCCUGAUCUCUCAUUUUGGAACAGGAGAGAAAAUCUCAGACCCAGUUCCUGGAAUCACUUUUAAUGUGAGUGGAGACAAAACACUGAUGACUCUUCAGAUCUCCUCUGCUGCAGUGACAGACUCUGCUGUGUACUACUGUGCUCUGCAGCCCACAGUGACAGGAAACACCAAAACUCUGUACAAAAACCUUUGGAGCAAAGACAACAGAAUACUCCACAACAUCCACUAGAGGGAGCCACACACUGUUAAACCUCUGAUUCUUGUGUCAUUGGACUGAUGACAAAGACAACAGAGAAAUGAAGCAGUAAAGAUCAGAGACAGAGACAGAGCUGCUGUGGAAGCACAAAACUAUU